rfam:Schistosoma margrebowiei strain Zambia genome assembly, scaffold: SMRZ_scaffold0000035
GCAUUACUGAGGAGUCCCACAAUAGGACGAAACAGCUGUCCGGUGC